CCCCCCCGGCCCCUCCAUGAGCGCCUGGAGGCCCUGCUCCGACAAUUCUGGGCAAAAUUGGAGCACAGGGAGGCCCAGCAAAACCCCACUCACCACAAGGUGGAGGAACUGGCUGAAGUCGUAGGGCGGACGGAGCAGAUCCCGGGCAAAGCUGCCUUACCUCGAAGGGCGGUAUGCCCAUCCAGACUGGGGGUUACUAGGAGACUUCCUC